UCCCCAUCCCAAGGCCAGGUGGGGUCAUCGUCCCCCAAACGCUCAGGGAUGACCGCCAUACCACAGCAUCUGGGACCUUUACUGCAAAGGACUGUUCAUGACAUGGAGCAAUUUGGACAGCAGCAGUAUGACAUUUAUGAGAGGAUGGUUCCACCCAGGCCAGACAGCCUGACAGGCUUACAGAGUUCCUAUGCUAGUCAGCACAGUCAGUUUGGGCAAGACCUUCGUUCCGCUGUGUCUCCCGACUUGCACAUUACUCCUACAUAUGUGGGGAGGACCUAUUACAGCCCCGUGUACCGCAGCCCAAACCACGGAACUGUGGAGCUCCAAGGAUCGCAGAGGGCAUUGUAUCGCACAAGCUCAGUAGGUAUUGGAAAUCUACAAAGGACGUCCAGCCAACAAAGUACCCUUACAUACCAAAGAAAUAAUUAUGCUCUGAACACAACAGCUACCUACACGGAGCCCUACAGGCCUAUACAAUAUCGAGUGCAAGAGUACAAGUACAACAGGCUUCAGCACACAGUGCCGGCUGAUGAUGGCACCACAAGAUCCCCAUCAAUAGACAGCAUUCAGAAGGACCCUAGGGAGUUUGCCUGGCGUGAUCCUGAGUUGCCUGAGGUCAUUCACAUGCUUCAGCACCAGUUCCCAUCUGUUCAGGCAAAUGCAGCGGCCUACCUGCAGCACCUGUGCUUUGGCGACAACAAAGUGAAGAUGGAGGUGUGUAGGUUAGGGGGAGUCAAGAAGCAUCUGGUUGACCUCUUGGACUACAGAUUGUUGGAAGUUCAAAAGAAUGCUGUGGUGCUCUUUGAAACCUCGUUUUUGGCAAGUCUACAGAUGAAAAUGAAAUAGCAAUGAAGAAUGUUGGUGGGAUACCUGCCUUGUUGCAACUGUUGAGAAAAUCUAUUGAUGCAGAAGUAAGGGAGCUUGUUACAGGAGUUCUUUGUAAUUUAUCCUCAUGUGAUGCUGUAAAAAUAAUCAUUCGAGAUGCUCUCUCAACCUUAACAAACACUGUGAUCGUUCCGCAUUCUGAAUGGAAGAACUCUUCUUUUGAUGAUCAUCAUAAAAUUAAAUUUCAGAUUUCACUAGUUCUGCGUAACAUGACAGGUUGCCUGAGGAACCUCAGCUCUGCCGGGGAAGAAGCUCGGAAGCAAAUGUGGUCCUGCGAGGGGCUGGUGGACUUGCUGUUGUACGUGAUCCACACAUGUGUGAACAUAUCCGAUUACGACAGCAAGACGGUGGAGAACUGUGUGUGCACCCUGAAGAACCUGUCCUAUCGACUGGAGCUGGAGGUGCCCCAGGCCCGGUUACUGGGACUGAACGAAUUGGAUGACUUACUGGGAAAAGAGUCUCCCAGCAAAGACUCUGAGCCAAGCUGCUGGGGGAAGAAGAAGAAAAAGAAAAAGAGGACUCCGCAAGAAGAUCAAUGGGAUGGAGUUGGUCCUAUCCCAGGACUGUCAAAGUCCCCCAAAGGGGUUGAGAUGCUGUGGCACCCAUCGGUGGUUAAACCAUAUCUGACUCUUCUAGCAGAAAGUUCCAACUCAGCCACCUUGGAAGGCUCUGCCGGAUCUCUCCAGAACCUCUCUGCAGGCAACUGGAAGUUUGCAGUAUACAUCUGGGCAGCUGACCGAAAAGAAAAGGGGCUCCCCAUCCUGUGGAACUUCUGAGAAUGGACAACAAUAGGGUUGUUUCUUCCGUGGCAACUGCACUGAGGAAUAUGGCACUAGAUGUUUGCAACAAGGAGCUCAUAGGCAAAUACGCCAUGCGAGACCUGGUCAACCAGUUUCCUGGUGGCAAUGGUCCCAGUGUCUUGUCUGAUGAGACCAUGGCAGCCAUCUGCUGUGCUCUACACGAGGUCACCAGCAAAAACAUGGAGAACGCCAAAGCCCUGGCCGACUUGGGAGGCAUCGAGAAGCUGGUGAACAUAACCAAAGGCAGAGGCCACAGAUCAUCUCUGAAAGUGGUGAAGGCAGCAGCCCAGGUCUUGAAUACAUUAUGGCAAUAUUGGGACCUCCGGAGCAUUUAUAAAAAGGAUGGGUGGAAUCAGAACCAUUUUAUUACACCUGUGUCGACAUUGGAGCAAGACCGAUUCAAAUAACAUCCUUCCUUAUCUACCACCAACCAACAGAUGUCACCCAUCAUUCAGUCAGUCGGCAGCACCUCUUCCUCACCAGCAUUGUUAGGAAUCAGAGAGACCCUCGCUCUGAAUAUGAUAGGACCCAGCCACCUAUGCAGUAUUACAAUAGCCAACGGGAUGCCACACAUAAAGGCCUGUACCCUGGCUCCAGCAAACCUUCACCAAUUUACAUCAGUUCCUAUUCCUCACCAGCAAGAGAACAAAAUAGACGGCUACAGCAUCAACACCUGUAUUAUAGUCAAGAUGACUCCAACAGAAAGAACUUUGAUGCAUACAGAUUUCAUUUGCAGUCUCCUCAUAGCUAUGAAGACCCUUAUUUUGAUGACCGAGUUCACUUUCCAGCUUCUGCUGAUUACUCAACACAGUAUGGACUGAAAUCAACCGCAAAUUAUGUAGACUUUUAUUCCACUAAACAACCUUCUUACAGAGCAGAACAGUACCCAGGGUCCCCAGACUCAUAGGUGUAGCAUCAAGAUGCCUGACAGAGGAACUUUUU